GUCAAUAAACAAAAUAAUUCCCUCUAGGAAUUGAAAC
rnacentral:other from 1 species